CAUCUUACCUGGCAGGGGAGAUACCAUGAUCAAGAAGGUGUGUUCCCCAGGGCGAGGAUUAACCAUUGACUCCGGUUAUGCUGACCUCCGGCGAUUCCCCAAAUGUGGAAUCUCGACUGCAGAAUUUGUGCUAGGGGGGACUGCGUUCGCGCUCUCCCCUG